rnacentral:rRNA from 1 species
GGAGCUUGCUCCUUUGACGUUAGCGGCGGACGGGUGAGUAACACGUGGAUAACCUACCUAUAAGACUGGGAUAACUUCGGGAAACCGGAGCUAAUACCGGAUAACAUAUUGAACCGCAUGGUUCAAUAGUGAAAGGCGGCUUUGCUGUCACUUAUAGAUGGAUCCGCGCCGUAUUAGCUAGUUGGUAAGGUAACGGCUUACCAAGGCAACGAUACGUAGCCGACCUGAGAGGGUGAUCGGCCACACUGGAACUGAGACACGGUCCAGACUCCUACGGGAGGCAGCAGUAGGGAAUCUUCCGCAAUGGGCGAAAGCCUGACGGAGCAACGCCGCGUGAGUGAUGAAGGUCUUCGGAUCGUAAAACUCUGUUAUCAGGGAAGAACAAAUGUGUAAGUAACUGUGCACAUCUUGACGGUACCUGAUCAGAAAGCCACGGCUAACUACGUGCCAGCAGCCGCGGUAAUACGUAGGUGGCAAGCGUUAUCCGGAAUUAUUGGGCGUAAAGCGCGCGUAGGCGGUUUUUUAAGUCUGAUGUGAAAGCCCACGGCUCAACCGUGGAGGGUCAUUGGAAACUGGAAAACUUGAGUGCAGAAGAGGAAAGUGGAAUUCCAUGUGUAGCGGUGAAAUGCGCAGAGAUAUGGAGGAACACCAGUGGCGAAGGCGACUUUCUGGUCUGUAACUGACGCUGAUGUGCGAAAGCGUGGGGAUCAAACAGGAUUAGAUACCCUGGUAGUCCACGCCGUAAACGAUGAGUGCUAAGUGUUAGGGGGUUUCCGCCCCUUAGUGCUGCAGCUAACGCAUUAAGCACUCCGCCUGGGGAGUACGACCGCAAGGUUGAAACUCAAAGGAAUUGACGGGGACCCGCACAAGCGGUGGAGCAUGUGGUUUAAUUCGAAGCAACGCGAAGAACCUUACCAAAUCUUGACAUCCUUUGACUGCUCUAGAGAUAGAGUCUUCCCCUUCGGGGGACAAAGUGACAGGUGGUGCAUGGUUGUCGUCAGCUCGUGUCGUGAGAUGUUGGGUUAAGUCCCGCAACGAGCGCAACCCUUAAGCUUAGUUGCCAUCAUUAAGUUGGGCACUCUAAGUUGACUGCCGGUGACAAACCGGAGGAAGGUGGGGAUGACGUCAAAUCAUCAUGCCCCUUAUGAUUUGGGCUACACACGUGCUACAAUGGACAAUACAAAGGGCAGCUAAACCGCGAGGUCAAGCAAAUCCCAUAAAGUUGUUCUCAGUUCGGAUUGUAGUCUGCAACUCGACUACAUGAAGC